GUGCAGCCAGGGGCUUCCGGCCGCGGCCCUGGCGCGUGGUCUGCGCGCGCCCGGCCGUGCGUGCGGAUGCGGGGAGGCUGCGUGUGUGCGCAGGGAGAGAACGCCGGCCACCUUCCCGCUUCCGAGCUGGGUGCGCGCCGAGCACAGGAGAUUGCCUGCGUUUAGGAGGUGGCUGCGUUGUGGGAAAAGCUAUCAAGGAAGAAAUUGCCAAACCAUGUCUUUUUUUCUGUUUUCAGAGUAGUUCACAACAGAUCUGAGUGUUUUAAUUAAGCAUGGAAUACAGAAAACAACAAAAAACUUAAGCUUUAAUUUCAUCUGGAAUUCCACAGAGACAAGGCCACUUUAUGUUUCCCAGGCUGGACUGGAACCCCUGGGCUCAAAUGAUCCUCCUACCUAAGCCUGCAGAGUAGCGAGGACUUCAGUUUUCUUAGCUCCCUGGACCCGGUUGACCUGUUGGCUCUUCCCGCUGGCUGCUCUAUCACGUGGUGCUCUCCGACUACUCACCCCGAGUGUAAAGUCUUGCUGCUCUGUUGCCCAGGCUGGAGUACAGUGGCAGGAUCUCAGCUCACUGCAAU
rnacentral:lncRNA from 10 species